UCAUCAGGUAUUGCAGCUACGUUGUUGGA
rnacentral:piRNA from 1 species